rnacentral:rRNA from 1 species
GCUAUUGGAGUUCGAUUAAGCCAUGCGAGUCGAGAGUCCUCGGGACUCGGCGUACCGCUCAGUAACACGUGGGUAACCUGCCCUAUGCUGGGGAAUAACCUCGGGAAACUGAGAAUAAUGCCCCAUAGCCCACUACGCCUGGAACGGUGAGUGGGUCAAAGCCCCGGCGGCAUAGGAUGGGCCUGCGCCGUAUCAGGUUGUAGGGGGUGUAAAGUACCCUCUAGCCAUCAACGCGUACGGGUGUUGGGAGACAUUGCCCGGAGAUGGAUUCUGAGACACGAAUCCAGACCCUACGGGGUGCAGCAGGCGCGAAAACUUGGCAAUGCGAGCAAUCGUGACCAGGGAACUCCAAGUGCGUAGGGUAAGACCUACGCUUUUCUUGACUCUUCAAAGGUCUUGGAAUAAGGGGUGGGUAAGGACGGUGCCAGCCGCCGCGGUAAUACCGGCGCCUCAAGUGGUAGUCGCUUUUAUUGGGCCUAAAACGUCCGUAGCCGGUCUGGUGCAUUCGUGGGUAAAUCAACCCGCUCAACGGGUUGAAUUCUGCGAGCACGGCCAGACUUGGGACCGGGAGGGGUGUGGGGUACUCUCAGGGUAGGGGUAAAAUCCUGUCAUCCUGAGAGGACCACCUGUUGCGAAGGCGCCACACUAGAACGGAUCCGACGGUCAGGGACGAAACCUAGGGGCACGAACCGGAUUAGAUACCCGGGUAGUCCUAGGUGUAAACGCUGUGGACUUGAUGUUGGGGGCGCUCCGAGCGCUCUCAGUGUCGAAGCGAAGGUGAUAAGUCCACUGCCUGGGGAGUACGGUCGCAAGGCUGAAACUUAAAGGAAUUGGCGGGGGAGCACUGC